GCCUUCUGAAAAAGACUGAGGCUGCACUUGUUCCUGUUAGGUACUUGUAGCAAAUAUUUACUAACUUUUGUUCUUUCGAUCAGAUAAUAAAAGUUUCAUGUCUCUUAAUAAAUUUUAGGUUGUCAUGUUACAAAAAGGCCUAUCUACAAAUAGGUGGACAAGAUAAAACAUUAAAAAUAGACUAGAGCAUUUUCCAUCUCCAUUGAUAAGAAAUAGGUGAAAAGAAAUUAAACUUACUCUUUUCCUUCCUUGCGUAAACGUCUUGUGCUGCUAUGUAGAAGAGGUAUAAUCUUUUUAUAUGGUGAAUCAUGAAGAAACUUAUAGCACAGUGCUAUCAUCUAUGGUAUUGGUGAAUAGUAGCCAUAGUGGUUUAGGAUCUUUUUCAUGUGUUGGCUAAUUGGUUAUUGAUUGUAAUUGCCAGUUUCUCUUCACAUAUGAACCAUGCAUACUUGAUGGUGGGUGAUCCAAAAAUGAUCUCAACCAAUAAAACUUUUAGCGAGUAUGUAAGAACUGGAGUUCUGGAUAUGGAUAGCAGACUACUUUUGAUGGUACUCAGUUUCUUGAAUCCUGUACAUUUCACAAAAACAAUAUGUUGCUUUCAAUGUUUUGGAUUUUACCAUGUGAGUGCCUCUGGAGAGAUUUUUUAAUUGCUUUCUUAUGCUUCCACCUAUUUUCUUCCAGAAUGAUGAUGUGCUUUCUGCUAAAAUUGUACACUAUGGUGUUGAUAAGCAUGAAUUAUUUGCUGUCCUCACAUACAGUCGUAAGCCUUAUUAACUUGAUCAUAGUGUUCUCUUUUUAUUUGUUAGCGGCAUGAUUGAAGGGCGAGACUACCAGCUGGUGAAGGAGAGGAUAUGUAUUCGGCGUGUCCUGAAGAGGUAGUCCACGAACCGGCAAUGGAGGAAAUAAGGUAGAGACGGCAAUAGCAGCAAGUACGUCAAGCGCCAGGGAUGUGGAUAUGGUGUGGCAUAAAAAGGUAGUCCACAAACCUCUGCUAGGUGCUCCUCUCUCACCUCUUGCGUCCUUUGGGGAUAUUCCUUCAUUAUUUGGUUACCUGUCAAUGCUCGGUCUUGUUUCCCACCUUGUGCUUUGACUUCUUGCAUUUUUUUCGUCUAAGUUAUUAGGCUACUGCUGCCUGGUUUGCCCAUGAUGAACCACUAAUUAUGAUGCACUGAUGGCUGGUCUACCUUUUUUAUGCUUUUUUUAGUGACAGCAUUCAGACUUAAUGUUUAUUACUUCAUUUCAGAGUUUUAAAUUAAGACAUCGCGGUCAAUUUAUAUGGUCUUCUGAAGUUUCCCUUCCCUUUGUCAUAUUGGUUUGAUCAAAUUAAUGGGAAGCCGGCAUUACUUUGAUGUACUGGCUUAUAGUCUUAUUAAGUACUCCCUCUUCAAACUAAUACAAGACCUUUUAGAUCACUGCUUACCUUUUAGAUCACUAAAAUAGUGAUCUAAAAGGUCUUACAUCUUAGCGCACAUUUAACUACUGUAUUUGUUGUACUAUUGUGGAUGUACCGCAGAAUAAAGCAGUCCUCCAUUUUUCUUCUAUGCAG
rnacentral:lncRNA from 1 species